GACGAACGCUGGCGGCGUGCUUAACACAUGCAAGUCGAACGGGCCUUGUCCCCUUUUUUUUUGGGGGUGGGGUUAGUGGCGAACGGGUGAGUAACACGUGAGUAACCUGCCCCUCACUUCUGGAUAACCGCUUGAAAGGGUGGCUAAUACGGGGUGUUCUGGCCUGCUCGCAUGGGUGGGUUUGGAAAGAUUCGACCGGUUUUGGUUGUUUUGGUGGGGGAUGGGCUCGCGGCCUAUCAGCUUGUUGGUGGGGUGAUAGCCUGCCAAGGCUUUGACGGGUAGCCGGCCUGAGAGGGUGGGCGGUCACACUGGGACUGAGACACGGCCCAGACUCCUACGGGAGGCAGCAGUGGGGAAUAGUGCACAAUGGGCGCAAGCCUGAUGCAGCGACGCCGCGUGAGGGAUGGAGGCCUUCGGGUUGUGAACCUCUUUCGCCAGUGAAGAAGGUCCUGCUCUUUGUGGUGGGGUUGACGGUAGCGGGGUUAAUGAAGCGCCGGCUAACUACGUG
rnacentral:rRNA from 1 species